CUUUAAGGCCAGACAGAAUCUUGGGAAGGUUGCUGGUUGGAAUUCUGGGUUGCCUGAGUCAGUUGGUUUUCUAACUGCCAAGGAGUCCUGGACGUUUUUUUUCCUAGGUGGAGGUUGGCAUUUUGUUCCUUGGAACACUGAAAAAUCCCAGUGGUAGAUGAAGGAGAAGAACAGUAGAGACAUGGCUGGUGGUAGCGUGCUGUGCAUCUUGGUGUCUUGGAAUCUUGGUGUGCUGGUAGCUCUUGUCUGGGCUUGGCAUGAACAUGCUAGUGUUGGAAUGCAUAAUUUAUUGAUCGUUUUACAGAUGGAGACAUGGAUAUUUCAAUAUAUUGAAAGGUUAUAUCUGAUUGAAAAAAACACAGAAAACAAAAUUACCUUCUGAAGAUCAGAAGUGGAGACCAGGAGAAGCUAGUUAAUGGGAGAAGGAAGCUGGAGAUUUGAGAGGAUGCUCUAGGUUGGAGGUUCCAGACACAAUUUAAAGAUUCAGGGUGAAAUCACAAUGUAGAUAGUUAGCAGAAUUCAGAAAGCCAAAAAUCUAUUAAACUUUGAUAGUUCAAAU
rnacentral:lncRNA from 1 species